rnacentral:sRNA from 1 species
ACUCUGUUAACCGAACUGUUACCGUAUGGUUUGCGUUCCAGAUUUACGUUUGGAUAGGUUGCAGAGUUGCC